UUAAAGUCAAAAUAACAUUUCGUGAGAUAACACUUAAGCUGUUUUAUUUCAUUUUUUGCAGUAAGGUUUUCAGAUUAUUUUAAAAUUGUACUGAAAGACAAUUUAUAGUCAAAAAGCAACAUCAAAAUUAUUCUAUCCAAACAGCAAAAACAGCAUUCAGCGGACAUAGCAAAAUGCUCCCGAUACGUAGCGGUAGCAAUUGCGAUUGGGAGCGUGUUGGACAUUUGAAUUUACAUAGCCGAAGUGGAAACGCCAGGUGCAUCUGGCACUACAAAUCCAACGUGUUGUGAGGUGGAUGCCAUUUUUAGUAGCGAGUUUAUUUUUGCUAGGUAGCGGUAGCGAAGCGAUCGGUGUUAGCAGAAUUUAGUCUUGAAAGAUGAAUUUGGUUAGGGUGUAUUGGACAGUGAUGGUUCCCAACGGGAAAGUUUUUUCGAAAACCCCACGAAUUUUCGAAGAUCGUAUGAAGAAUGUAUUUUCCCUAAACCGAAGAAAUAUUGGACAGGAUAUGGAGAAAUCUGAAAAAAAUCUAUAUAGGCAUCAAACACAAUAUAGGGAAAACUGGAAGGGGUAGAAUUUACUAGGGAGGACAAAACGGUUAACCUCCCUAACCUAAUACCUCUACAAUGGUUCCUGGCAUAACGGAAAACGCCCCUUGCCAAAAAUAAGGACCCACCCCCUAUUCCACCCCCAAGUACCAAGGCUAGGAAGUCAAAGAGUUUAAUGUUUUAUCUACGAAGAAGGCUGACAAAUAUCGAGGACGCUUGAGUACAAGAAAUUAACCUCUUAUGAAAUGCCCUUGAAAGGAGUAAGAAAAUCCAGCAGGAAAGAAAUAAAAUUUUGCACGUAUUAUGUGAAUUACAAAAAAAGAGCAGUAAUUCGAAAACAUUUUUAUUUGUUACAAGAGCAUAUUUGCUAUUUGGCUCCUUUCCUCAUUUCCAACCUCAUCUGCAAUAUCGACUUCCAGGUGUGGUAGAUCCUCUUCUAAACAUACCAAAUGUCUCGCUGCUCUGA